CGGGACAAGCGGAUUGAAUAGUG
rnacentral:siRNA from 1 species